CAUUAGGUGACUGAAAGUAAGUGAUGGUCUCUUAAACCAAUAAAUAGUAAAUAACAACUACUCCUAAUGA
rnacentral:tRNA from 1 species